rnacentral:rRNA from 1 species
CAGCAGCCACGGUAAUACGUAGGUGGCAAGCGUUGUCCGGAAUUAUUGGGCGUAAAGCGCGCGCAGGCGGAUAGGUCAGUCUGUCUUAAAAGUUCGGGGCUUAACCCCGUGAUGGGAUGGAAACUGCCAAUCUAGAGUAUCGGAGAGGAAAGUGGAAUUCCUAGUGUAGCGGUGAAAUGCGUAGAUAUUAGGAAGAACACCAGUGGCGAAGGCGACUUUCUGGACGAAAACUGACGCUGAGGCGCGAAAGCCAGGGGAGCGAACGGGAUUAGAUACCCGCGUAGUCCCUGUCUCUUAUACA